ACAUGGAGAGUGAAAGAAAAGGUGCAAUGACUGCGGUGAGAGCAGCCAUGUUGUUGGUUUACAGAUUGAUACAGACAGGAGGCAGGGCUCGAUGUAGCAGAGAGGAAGAUGUUGAGGUUCUCUUUGGGAGUGAUGAGGAUGGAUAGGAUCAGAAAUGAACCCAUCAGAGGAAUGAUGGUGGAAGACUGGGGUGGUUUGGAGAUGUUGAGGGGACGAACAGUGAUGAUGAUGGUAAAGGAUAGGAAAGAGGUCUAGAGAAAAACCAAAGAGGAGGUUCAUGGAGGUAGUGAAGUAGGACAUGAGGGAGGGUGGUUGGUGCGAGCGAUGAGGAUUUAUGGAGGUGGAUUAUUCGCUGUGGCUGAAAAACUAAAAAAAGGAAUUGACUACUGUCUUCUGCAUUAUUGGGCUGUUCCACAUCAUAUCUAAAAAGCCUCUGUUUUGAUGAAAAUUGAUGCAAUAGUUUCUAUUUGAGAGAUUUUGGCUUCUCCUAAUUGGCUGUUUAAAGAAAGCAGGAUUCAUUUUCAAGAUUCUUUUCUUAUCAUAUAGCUUUAAAUUUACUCUCCUCUCAAAGACCUAAUUUUCCCAUAAUUUCCAAUCAGAACACUGUUCUCAGUCAACAAGCUAGGAGGACAGAGUCUUUAGCCAUUAUGCUGCUCUUAUGUAGAUUCACUAAUUAUUGUUAUUUCUCUCGUCUCAUGUUGAUGUUUCAGGGUUUUUGUUGCAGUUCCCUCAAAGCUCAUGUGGCCACCUGUGGGAUGUCAUGAAAUGGAAUGUACCAUCGUCACGUGCGUGAGUCAUGGGGCUGCUGGAGCCUAUCCUGGCCACUCGUAAGCGAAGGGAGGGGACACUCUGGACAGGGGGAGAAGGCUGGAGUCCCCGAAGAACACCCACGCAUGCGGGGAGAACAUGCAAACUCCACACAGAAAGGUCCCCAAAGGCUCCGUUUCAGAUCCCCCAGCUGGGACUGGAACCAGGGACCUUCUUGCACUAACACUGCGCCACAUAUUGUGAAAACAUUUGUAAAAAAUAAUGUAAGUCACAUGCACUUAUAACGUAUGCUGUCGUAUGGUGACCUUACGCCACACUGUGGUUGUCGGUGAGGUACAAUUACUGGCUCAGUAGUGAAAGCAUAAAAAAUGCUGCCUGAGCGGGGUGAGCAGGGGGUAUGCGAGUACCUUUGCAUUUGGACACCACACAACAGUAGCAUCUGUACAUCAUAAGUGCAUGCAAUUUACAUUAUCCUCUCAAAUACAUCACGAUACACUUUGGCACAUGCACGACAAUGGCAUGUUACAAUUUUGAGGAUAUCCCUUCAAGCGGCCAUACGAGCCUCAAGGGAACUGCAAGACACACCUGCACCCCUUUUAAGAUGCAGCCGCUCCCCUCUGUGACCCUCCAAGGGCCCAGACAACCUAAAAACCUGCAACACCCGUACAGACUGACCCCCAGACAGCAAGUGACUAAGCCGUUUGGCCUAAGCAACAAAAAAACUGAACAAGGAACAAAACUGGAUGUAGUACAAACAUUCACGUAUACUGAGAGUUCUUCUUUAAUCAAAACGCCUCUUGAAGCAGCAAAUGUGAUUAAAUUAGAUUAGAUUAGAUUGAAAAUUCUAACUAACCUGAGUUAGGUGUUAAAAUUAUAACAGACAAGCUAUAAAAUGAAUUAAGUUGCAAUUUUACUGGAAAAUCUUUUGACAACUCCUAUACUACAUCACAAAAUUCAUUCAAAGACAUCCAGGGUAUUUCCAGAGAUGAUGUGUUGUUCCUUUAGUUAGUAGGAACUCUCCCAUCUUCUCACACCAUACUUCUCAAAUACAAACCCUCACAGAAGAACGACCUUCCCUCAAUUAAUCCAUGAAACACCUAACGUUGUGGUUUCCUGACAGUAAAAACGGCUCCAGUAAACUAAACCCACUGUUCUGAGAAAUGUUCAAUUUGCACACGGGUCACUCUGCUCCAAUCAUUUUUAUCAGCUGGCUGUUAAAUUGGUCUCUGUCCUACAUUUGUCCUCCUGACUUCAAUGGAAAAUGUGCGUCCUAUUUAAUGGAAAAGUGAGAUUCUGUUGAAGUGCUUCUACGAGGUUCUUGUUCAUGAUCUCUGAGUUGCAGAACAUUUCUCAAACAAAUGAUUUAGAAACCUUUGUUCUGCAGAAUUCACGAAGGUCUGAGCGGUUCCUGCUCCUCACUGCAUGGUAUUUACCUCAGAUCACUUUUUUCAGACGAGAUUUAAAGAACUGAAAAAGUUCACAGAUAUCUUUGGUCAUCUGGUAUGGGAUGAGGGCUGGUUAGCACUGGUUUCAGGUGUCACCGAAACAGGUUUGUUCUCUGCAGGCAUUUGUCCAUCUAUUACUCUGCAUGACAUCAUAACAUUAUUAAAGUCCCACUCCAAACUUCCUUCAAUUUAUUUUCUCCCACAGCAGCAGUCACUGACUGCAAGGACCAGACUGUUUUCGCAGUUGGAAACAUUUCUGCCCUGUUGAGCAAACAUUUACACAUAUUUAAAACAUAGUUCAACGCGGAGCUAAAAACUCCAGAACCGAUCCCAAACCCGCCCAAAUUAUGUCCAUCAACCUAAAGCAAUUUUUGCCUGUAAAGUCAGAAUGAAACUGCCCAGAGUGGCGUGAUGCUCUGCUCGCUCACUUGGAAGUCUGGACUUGCUGUUGACUGGAACAUACCAUUGCUGCAGAAGGAUGGGGGAGGACCAAACACUUUUACAUGAUCAACUUUAUGCCAUUUCAGUGAUAUGGGAUGUUUUUUUUUCAUGACAGCAUUAAAUAAUGAUGGUAAUAAAAUGUAUUUUAGACAAUUUUAGUAAGUGUUCAGCUCGGGGGCCCUAGAGAGUUAGGGGCCCCUGGUAAUCGCCCACAUUUGCCUAACGGUACGGUAAUUCUGCCUCUGGUAGAGGUGGGGCGGCGAAGGUCGGUAGCGCCUGCGCCUUCUCGCAGCUUUAAUCAUGAUUAUGUUGUUUUUAGUCGAAA